rnacentral:rRNA from 1 species
GAGUUUGAUCCUGGCUCAGAUUGAACGCCGGCGGCAGGCCUAACACAUGCAAGUCGAACGGUAACAGAAAGCAGCUUGCUGCUUUGCUGACGAGUGGCGGACGGGUGAGUAAUGUCUGGGAAACUGCCUGAUGGAGGGGGAUAACUACUGGAAACGGUAGCUAAUACCGCAUAACGUCGCAAGACCAAAGAGGGGGACCUUCGGGCCUCUUGCCAUCGGAUGUGCCCAGAUGGGAUUAGCUUGUUGGUGGGGUAACGGCUCACCAAGGCGACGAUCUCUAGCUGGUCUGAGAGGAUGACCAGCCACACUGGAACUGAGACACGGUCCAGACUCCUACGGGAGGCAGCAGUGGGGAAUAUUGCACAAUGGGCGCAAGCCUGAUGCAGCCAUGCCGCGUGUAUGAAGAAGGCCUUCGGGUUGUAAAGUACUUUCAGCGGGGAGGAAGGGAGUAAAGUUAAUACCUUUGCUCAUUGACGUUACCCGCAGAAGAAGCACCGGCUAACU